UUCUUUUGUCUUGUAUAUUCUAUUGAUUUGUGAUUUCUUUCGAUAGAAAGACAUUUUUCUUCAACUUUCUUGUUUCUCUAAUGCAUUUAUCAUUCUUUCAUCACCACCGUUUUUCCUCUUAUGAGAGAGAGAGAGAGAGAGAGAGAGAUCGCCAGCCACA